UACGGGGGGGGCAAGCGUUGUUCGGAAUUACUGGGCGUAAAGGGCGCGUAGGCGGCCUGCUAAGUCGGACGUGAAAUCCCUCGGCUCAACCGGGGAACUGCGUCCGAUACUGGCGAGGCUUGAAUCCGGGAGAGGGAUGUGGAAUUCCAGGUGUAGCGGUGAAAUGCGUAGAUAUCUGGAGGAACACCGGUGGCGAAGGCGGCAUCCUGGACCAACACUGACGCUGAGGCGCGAAAGCUAGGGGAGCAAACGGG
rnacentral:rRNA from 1 species